AAGUGUUAGCUUUUAUUAUUUAUUUAAUAAUAUUCUAAAUAAUUUAUGAAACAUAUUCUUUUGCUACAAGUGCGCAUGUGCAAUAAUUACUCAUUUGACUCGUUCGGUUAUUUACGAAUUGUUACGAAUUGACUCGAAUAACUGCCCGAAGUGGGAAGGUCGAGUCAGAGUGGGGACUAAAGGAUAAAACAGCUGGUAGCACAUGCGCACAGGCAAUUCCUUUGUUCAAGUUGGUGUUUAUACAUUUUACGUAGGGUCAGUGUGUGAAAUAUAGUAAAUCAAGUCAUCAUUGGAGUGUUUAAUUUCCUACCCUAAGAACCAGAUCAACUAGCCCUAACAAAUCAGAAGAGCGGGAUGCCAUCGAGGUAAACUGAUAUGGUAUAUCAUAUCCUUGGUGUAAAGGAUUAACGCCCACGAGUCAUGGGUGUUGUAUUACACAGGGCCUCGCAUCAGGGUACUAUUAGAAAGCUGAUGGUAUUUCUGGUUUUAAGUGAGAGCAAGGGUAGCAAAGAUGAAAAAGAUGACCUGGUAAGAUGACUCUAUAGGACAACGACACAGUAAGACUGUAUAUUAUGAGGUAUUAAUAUUAUUAUAUUUUUUUUGCUGCUUAGAGAUUUAAAAUAUAUAAGAAGCAAGCAUUCGCAAGUUUAGGUUUUAAGGAGGAAUUAGUAAUCCUCCCGUAGUCAAUUUUACAUGCACCAUGUUAAAUGGGAGCAUUCAAAGUUGGCAUUGCUGAUAAAGAAGUUUGAUUUACUUCAAAUGAGUAAGACUCUGCUGAAUGUUAACAUACUGCAGAGCCUAGUCUUUCAUGACAUUUCUUUUGCGGUAAUUCACUUUGGGUAUAUUACAAAGGGUUGCUUUUUGAUACAGCAUCAAACAGACAUAAGUCUCAAUUUCAUUAACAAAUCUGAAAUUUCGAUGUCACGUCAUGUCGACAAUUUAACUUGCUUGCUAAGGCUGUUGUUCUUUUUGUGUACUGUGGCUAUGUGCUUAGAAAUUCAAAAUUACAUAUGACCUUUUAACAUAUUAUGUAUUCCCUACAAACCAAUCAAUACUUGGUUAGUUUUUUUUUUAUUUUAUUUUUGUUAUUGGUCUUAAUAAUGGAUAUGAAAUACUUUCAUUAUGUCUGAUGAUAAAAUAUCUUAAAACAGAAUUGAUUAAAUGUUGUAAUGAAAUUUAAUAAUGUAAGAAAAUUAUUGUAUCAUCUUGAUCGGUUACCAAUGAGGUUGUAUUUGACAAAGUAAUGUCAAAUUAUUUGAUAAAGUAAUUUCACAUUUAAUUCAUCUCCAGAAGUGAUAGUAUCCUAAUAAAAGUGAUGGCUUAAUAUAAUAAGUAAGUUUUGAGUGCGUUGAAAUAUGUUGAUGAAAAAUAAUACUCUAAAGAAGUAGGGUUGUAGUAGUAAUAGUUCAAGUAUUUGUUGUGCUUUCGAUAAGUAUUUUUUCUGAAGUCUGCACGAAAAUCUGCAGCGUUUUUGUCAAAGAAAAGAGGGAGAGAGCGAUUGAGACUUGAACACCGAUGGUGUUUUUAAUACAUAUCAAUAUCAUUAUUAUUUUAUUAUGGGAAAAAAUUACCAUUUUUUUUUUGUUGGUUUGGACCUUUUGCUAAGACCCAGUUGGCUAUUUUACAAAAUGUGGACAUUAGUUAGCAAUUAUGAUAGUAAUUUCUUAUAUUAUUGAACUAAUUUAACUAAUUUUAGCUCUGGUUUUUAAUUAGCCUUGGUAUCAUUUAAUAAUAUAGAAAGACUGGGAAAAUUAAAUUAUGGGAUUUGGUCAGCUUAAUUACUCAAUAAUUAAUCUACAAAGAAGUUUCACUUUUGACAUGUGUACCUUGUACUUACGCACUAUUUAUUCGUAUAAUUGACAUAGACUAGAAUAUUUAUUUAUUUAUUUAUUUAGUUAAUAAGCUUACGACAUCACACACAGUACUAAAUCUACUAAUUAUUUUACAAAAUCUUACAUCUUAAAUGUGUGACAAUUAAUGUAAACAUAAGUUUUACAAAAAAAAUAUAUAAAUUAUAAAGUACAAUUAAAACAUAUACGAAUAUCAAUUUCACAUGAUAAAUUCACUAUUGUGAAUAUAAAGAGAUCAUAAUGGACUUCGUUUGGUAAAACUUUAUUGUGAUCUUAAAAGAUCACAGUAGUUUCAGUUAUGUAGGACUUUAUUGUGAAUAUAAAGAUAUCUCAAAGGAUUUA